rnacentral:lncRNA from 1 species
UCAGGAAGACAAAAGCAAGCACAAACACAAGCAACUAUGUCAGUCAAGCAUGGACACAACACAAUUUGAAAAUUAAAGAAUGAGCAAGAGUUUAAAAUUGGACCUUAAGCAGCAAGAAUCGUUUCUGGUGUAUUAUUAAGAAUCUUCAUAUUAAAUCUUACAUCAAAUGGCCGAUGGAUGAGGUGGAGAUCCAAAAAUUAGCAACCAAACUUUAGACGGAAAACUGGAACACGGUCGGAACAGUUGAUGAAAUCUCACCGGCGACUUCUGACAUUACUCGAAAUCUCAACAGAGUGGUCAAAUAGCGACGAAGGGGUUGUGGGUAGUUGGCAGCGAUUUUCCGGUGGGUCUUAGAUAUUGAGUGUGUGUUGCUGAUGCUGGUUGUCGCGGCUUGAGCAAUGGUGGUCUGUGGCGAGCUCGGGUGGUGGCUGUUGUUGAAGGUGACAGUUGCGGUUGUUUUUUGUCUAAGGUUCUAGAGGUUCUGCUCUUGUCUAUCUAAGGUUUUGUCUAAUGUCCAAAUGAAGAAGAAGAAGAAGAGAUGGUUGUCGUUGUUGUUGUUUUAAGAGGCUACAAUGGAGAAGAAGCCGAUGAACAAUGGGGGUUUUUCCGUUCUGCCGUUGGUCAUUCCCUUCGUUUGCCUAGGUUUUUUAUUUCCUUAAGGGCAAUGGGG